CGAGGGGCAGCGCGGGGUAGCAAUACUCUGGCGGCGACCGGCMAACGGGUGCGGAACACGUACGCAACCUUCCCAAAACUGGUGAAUAGCCCUCCGAAAGGAGGAUUAAUACACCGUAACAUAUAGAGAUGGCAUCAUCUUUAUAUUAUAGUUUUAAUGGUUUUGGAUGGGCGUGCGCCUGAUUAGGUAGUUGGCGGGGUAACGGCCCACCAAGCCUGCGAUCAGUAACUGGUGUGAGAGCACGACCAGUCACACGGGCACUGAGACACGGGCCCGACUCCUACGGGAGGCAGCAGUAAGGAAUAUUGGUCAAUGGACGAAAGUCUGAACCAGCCAUGCCGCGUGAAGGAUGAAGGCCCUCUGGGUUGUAAACUUCUUUUAUCUGGGACGAAAAAAGGGAAUUCUUUCCCACUUGACGGUACCAGAGGAAUAAGCACCGGCUAACUCCGUGCCAGCAGCCGCGGUAAUACGGAGGGUGCAAGCGUUAUCCGGAUUCACUGGGUUUAAAGGGAGCGUAGGUGGGCAGGUAAGUCAGUGGUGAAAUCUCCGAGCUUAACUCGGAAACUGCCAUUGAUACUAUUUGUCUUGAAUAUUCUGGAGGUAAGCGGAAUAUGUCAUGUAGCGGUGAAAUGCUUAGAUAUGACAUAGAACACCAAUUGCGAAGGCAGCUUGCUACGGAACUAUUGACACUGAGGCUCGAAAGCGUGGGGAUCAAACAGGAUUAGAUACCCUGGUAGUCCACGCCCUAAACGAUGGAUACUCGACAUCAGCGAUACACUGUUGGUGUCUGAGCGAAAGCAUUAAGUAUCCCACCUGGAAGUACGACCGCAAGGUUGAAACUCAAAGGAAUUGAC
rnacentral:rRNA from 1 species